UAGCUAGUUGGUGAGGUAAAGGCUUACCAAGGCGACGAUCUGUAGCGGGUCUGAGAGGAUGAUCCGCCACACUGGAACUGAGACACGGUCCAGACUCCUACGGGAGGCAGCAGUGGGGAAUUUUGGACAAUGGGGGCAACCCUGAUCCAGCCAUGCCGCGUGAGUGAAGAAGGCCUUCGGGUUGUAAAGCUCUUUCGGCCGGGAAGAAAUCGCAUGGGCCAAUACCCUGUGUGGAUGACGGUACCGGAAUAAGAAGCACCGGCUAACUACGUGCCAGCAGCCGCGGUAAUACGUAGGGUGCGAGCGUUAUUCGGAAUUACUGGGCGUAAAGCGUGCGCAGGCGGUCUUGUAAGACAGGCGUGAAAUCCCCGGGCUUAACCUGGGAACUGCGUUUGUGACUGCAAGGCUAGAGUACGGCAGAGGGGGGUGGAAUUCCACGUGUAGCAGUGAAAUGCGUAGAGAUGUGGAGGAACACCAAUGGCGAAGGCAGCCCCCUGGGUCGAUACUGACGCUCAUGCACGAAAGCGUGGGUAGCAAACAGGAUUAGAUACCCUGGUAGUCCACGCCCUAAACUAUGUCAACUAGGUGUUGGGUGGGUAAAACCAUUUAGUACCGUAGCUAACGCGUGAAGUUGACCGCCUGGGGAGUACGGCCGCAAGGUUAAAACUCAAAGGAAUUGACGGGGACCCGCACAAGCGGUGGAUGAUGUGGAUUAAUUCGAUGCAACGCGAAAAACCUUACCUACCCUUGACAUGCCAGGAACUUGCCAGAGAUGGCUUGGUGCCCGAAAGGGAGCCUGGACACAGGUGCUGCAUGGCUGUCGUCAGCUCGUGUCGCGAGAUGUUGGGUUAAGUCCCGCAACGAGCGCAACCCUUGUCGUUAAUUGCCAUCAUUUAGUUGGGCACUUUAACGAGACUGCCGGUGACAAACCGGAGGAAGGUGGGGAUGACGUCAAGUCCUCAUGGCCCUUAUGGGUAGGGCUUCACACGUCAUACAAUGGUCGGUACAAAGGGUUGCCAAGCCGCGAGGCGGAGCCAAUCCCAGAAAGCCGAUCGUAGUCCGGAUUGCAGGCUGCAACUCGCCUGCAUGAAGUCGGAAUCGCUAGUAAUCGUGGAUCAGCAUGUCACGGUGAAUACGUUCCCGGGUCUUGUACACACCGCCCGUCACACCAUGGGAGCGGGUUCCGCCAGAAGUAGGUAGCCUAACCGCAAGGGGGGCGCUUACCACGGCGGGGUUCGUGACUGGGGUGAAGUCGGAACAAGGUAGCCGUAGGGGAACCUGCGGCUG
rnacentral:rRNA from 1 species